CUUUUUCUUUUCUUUCAAUCAAAAUGCGAAUCUCGUAUUUGCUUGUUUCCUUUUAACUUUCUUGAUCGAACAGCAAUCUUCAUCUGCUUGGGUUUUGGGUUUCUUGCAGCAAUUCAGAAUGACCCAUUUUCCUUGAUCUUUAAUGCUUUCUUUUCUAUCAUCUUUUGGAGGAAAUGAACCGACUCUUUUGAGAUUUCUUCGACGUUUAUUCCUUGACAAAGUAUUGAGUUCUGGGUUAAUCCUUCUUGACAUUUUUCUUCCUUCUGGAUAAUCUAACUUCAUUUCUUUGGUUACUCCUCUGAGCUUUCUUGGCGGUUAAACGAUUCUGUUUCAGUCUUUUGGAACAAUACAUAUGGAUCUUUACUUUUAGACAAAUUUUUCUUUUGUCUGAGCAGAUUGGCUAUAGAGACUGAAAGUUGCUGUCCAUACACAAGUAAUGAAGGCAAAUCUUUUUUGGGACACUAUUGAACAAUAUGAGAAAAUCUUAUGGGUAACCCUAGUUGUAGACUUUCAUAUAUUCUAAAUUGCUCCCCGCGGUUUUCAAGUGUUACACAAGAGCAGUCAAGAUAAGUUGAUUAUCAGAUGUCAAGCAUAAUGAAAAAUCAAGUUUUUUCGUUGUUUUGUUUAGCAAAUAAGAUUUUUCUUUUGUCUGAGCAGAUUGGUUAUAGAGACUGAAAGUUGCUGUCCAUAUACAAGUAAUGAAGGCAAAACUUUUUUGGGACAUUAUUGAACAAUAUGAGAAAAUCUUAUGGGUAACCCUAGUUGUAGACUUUCAUAUAUUUUAAAUUGCUCCCCUUGGUUUUCAAGUGUUACACAAGAGCAGUCAAGAUAAGUUGAUUAUCAGAUGGCAAGCAUAAUGAAAAAUCAAAACUUGGGUAUUCAGAAUACUUCAAAUAAGGAAAAGAAGAAAAUGAAGAGAACUGGAAAGGAGAGAAAGCCAGCAAAAGGAGCCCCUAAUCAUCUGACUCAUACAACACAAUCAAAAUUUCAGGCAGCUAAUGCAAUGCAAUCCUGUCAGAUAACAAAGGAGGAUAUCCCAACAAGUGGUAAAGCUAACACUAGCAUUAACCAUUCAAAUACAGGCAUUCAAGGGGAAGAAGAUACAAAAGUGAACAAGACUAGCAACGAGACCUACAUAUGGAAAGGGAAGGAGAGCGAUCACCUGGCGGAGCAAACGAGUCAGAGGA